GACGAACCGUGCGAACGUUAUUCGGAAUCACUGGGCUUAAAGCGCGUGUAGGCGGAAGGGCACGUCCGUUGCUGAAAUCCCCCGGCUCAACCGGGGAACGGGCACGGAUACGACUCUUCUGGAGGAACGUAGGGGGACCUGGAACUUCCGGUGGAGCGGUGAAAUGCGUUGAGAUCGGAAGGAACACCAAUGGCGAAGGCAGCUUGCUGGGACGGUACUGACGCUGAGGCGCGAAAGCGUGGGGAGCAAGCAGG
rnacentral:rRNA from 1 species